UACGUAGGGUGCGAGCGUUGUCCGGAAUUAUUGGGCGUAAAGAGCUCGUAGGCGGUUUGUCGCGUCUAUCGUGAAAACUGGAGGCUUAACUUUCAGCGUGCGGUGGAUACGGGCAGACUUGAGUUCGGUAGGGGAGACUGGAAUUCCGGGUGUAGUGGUGAAAUGCGUAGAUAUCCGGAGGAACACCAGUGGCGAAGGCGACUUUCUGGCCUGUUCUUGACGCUGAGGCGCGAAAGCUAGGGGAGCAAACGGG
rnacentral:rRNA from 1 species